rnacentral:lncRNA from 1 species
UUAUUACUUUUGAACUAAAAGGUUCGGGUAAUUUUGUAAAAUAUAGUUUCCUUAUUUCUUUACUUUCUUCUACACUAUAUGUUCCUUUAUAAUCGUAUUCUCUGUGGUUUUUUAUAUUUAUAUUUUGAUCUGUAUUUUUUUUAUAUUUCUUUUUAUAGUAUCUGUCUGUAUAUCCAAAUUGGGGUGCUGUUUUAUUUUUGCAACAUGCUAAGUUUUUUACUAAUAUUUUCUCCAUUUUCAUUUCUUCUUUAUGUUUUUCACAUAGUUCUAUAAAUAAUCGUUGUAAAAAAUUCAUUCUAGCUCCUAGGGUAUCUGGUAGUCCUGCUUCAUUCCAAUCUUUUAUUACUUUUGAACUAAAAGGUUCGGGUAAUUUUGUAAAAUAUAGUUUCCUUAUUUCUUUACUUUCUUCUACACUAUAUGUUCCUUUAUAAUCGUAUUCUCUGAAUGCACACGUAUAUUCAUCUAUGUAACACAUAUUACAUAUUGCUAAUUUUGUCAUUAAAUUUCUGUUUAUAAUUUUUUCUUUAUUUUCUUCUUCUACUUCUGUUGUCAUACUACUGAAUUCAUUUCUUAUAGCUAUUUCAUAUUUAUAUAAUAUUUCC